CACCAGGUUGAUUCUGCCUGACACACACGCUCGUCCCAAAGAUUAAGCCAUGCAUGCUUGUGAAGGAAGCGGAACGGCGUACGGCUCAGUAGGACGGACCUAAUCUAUCCAGCACGGGAGGGAUAACCACGGGAAACUGUGGCUAAGACCGGGAUCUGCCGUGCCCUCGGGUGCUGAAGAGCGGCGGUGUGCUGGGCGAGAGUCUGACCUAUUAGCUUGAUGGCGCGGUAAGGGCGGGCCAUGGCGACGAUGGGUGACGGGGAAUCGGGGUUUGAUUCCGGAGAAGGAGGCUGAGAGACGGCUCCUACGUCCAAGGACGGCAGCAGGCGCGAAACUUACCCACUCGAGCGGAGGUAGUGACGGGACGUCUAUGGGGAGCUCUUGAUAACUGCGAGGGGCCUCUACUGGAGGGCAAGUCUGGUGCCAGCAGCCGCGGUAAUUCCAGCUCCAGGAGCGUGUGUGGUGAUUGCUGCAGUUAAAAGGUCCGUAGUCGACGUGUCUGGCGGGGUCUUGAGGUGCGCUCAACGUGCUAGGACCUCCGCGAGUUGCGUUCCGGAGCACUUGGGGGUGAGGGUAUUCCUGCGUGAGAGGUGAAAUUCGGUGAUCGCGGGGGGACCGACGGGGGCGCAGGCGCUCAUCCAGACUGUGUCCUAUGAUCAAGGGCGGAAGCCGUGGUAGCGAAGGUGAUUAGUGACCACUGUAGUCGCGGCCGCAAACGAUGCGUUCCCGCCUGCUGGGCGGAGGGAAACCGAGAGAGCUCUGGGGAUAGUACGAGCGCAAGCCUGAAACUUGAAGAAAUUGACGGAAGGACACCACCAGGAGUGGAUCAUGCGGGUUAAUUUGACUCAACGCGGGGCAGCUUACCAGGGCACGCGCGGGUGCGAUCGCGAUGCGAGAUUCUGCGGCGAGUGGUGCAUGGCCGUUUCUAACACGUGGGGUGACCAGUCUGGUUAAGUCCGAUAACGCGUGCCGCCCCGGCCCUGUGCGAAUGGGGGACGACUGCCGACGAGGCAGGGGAAGAGGGGCGAAAACAGGUCCGUAAUGCCCUCCGAAGCCCUGGGCGCCACGCGUGAUACAAUAGCUGCGUCGCGGUUGGGGUCGGGACUGCGGGCUGCGAGGCCAGCACGAACGCGGAAUUCCUAGUAAGCGUGCGUCACCAUUGCGUGCUGAAUGCGUCCCUGUCCUUUGUACACACCGCCCGUCGUUAUUUGAGAUGGUAGUGCGGCCGAGCGGCUGUCCUCGGGCGGCCGCGAGUCCGCCCUGCUAGAUCGAAUACAAGUCGUAACAAGGUAACCANNNNNNNNNNNNNNNNNNNNNNNNNN
rnacentral:rRNA from 14 species